AGUGAACGCUGGCGGUAGGCCUAACACAUGCAAGUCGAACGGCAGCACAGUAAGAGCUUGCUCUUACGGGUGGCGAGUGGCGGACGGGUGAGGAAUACAUCGGACUCUACUUUUUCGUGGGGGAUAACGUAGGGAAACUUACGCUAAUACCGCAUCCGACCUACGGGUGAAAGCAGGGGAUCUUCGGACCUUGCGCGAUUGAAUGAGCCGAUGUCGGAUUAGCUAGUUGGCGGGGUAAAGGCCCACCAAGGCGACGAUCCGUAGCUGGUCUGAGAGGAUGAUCAGCCACACUGGAACUGAGACGCGGUCCAGACUCCUCAGGGAGGCAGCAGUGGGGAAUAGUGGACAAUGGGCGCAAGCCUGAUCCAGCCAUACCGAGUGGGUGAAGAAGGCCUUCGGGUUGUAAAGCCCUUUUGUUGGGAAAGAAAAGCAGCAGGUUAAGACGCAGCUGUUCUGACGGUACCCAAAGAAUAAGCACCGGCUAACUUCGUG
rnacentral:rRNA from 1 species